CACUUGCCAGCAUGGACAAAUUAAAGCUUUCAUUGAUGUUUGAAGAGCAAAAAUUGACUGAACGGGUAAAAUAAAGAUCAAUCCCCUGGUCCCUCCGUCAGCUCUCCUCGCCUGACGCUACAGUGAUCAUGAAGACUGCCGGCCUCAUCACUUUCAGAAAAAAAAAA